GAUGAACGCUGGCGGCGUGCCUAAUACAUGCAAGUCGAGCGAACAGAUGAGGAGCUUGCUCCUCUGACGUUAGCGGCGGACGGGUGAGUAACACGUGGAUAACCUACCUAUAAGACUGGGAUAACUUCGGGAAACCGGAGCUAAUACCGGAUAAUAUAUUGAACCGCAUGGUUCAAUAGUGAAAGACGGUUUUGCUGUCACUUAUAGAUGGAUCCGCGCCGCAUUAGCUAGUUGGUAAGGUAACGGCUUACCAAGGCAACGAUGCGUAGCCGACCUGAGAGGGUGAUCGGCCACGCUGGAACUGAGACACGGUCCAGACUCCUACGGGAGGCAGCAGUAGGGAAUCUUCCGCAAUGGGCGAAAGCCUGACGGAGCAACGCCGCGUGAGUGAUGAAGGUCUUCGGAUCGUAAAACUCUGUUAUUAGGGAAGAACAAAUAUGUAAGUAACUAUGCACGUCUUGACGGUACCUAAUCAGAAAGCCACGGCUAACUACGUG
rnacentral:rRNA from 1 species